AGAGGUCCCAAGCGUUGUUCGGAUUCAUUGGGCGUAAAGGGUGCGUAGGCGGCGCGGUAAGUCGGGUGUGAAAUCUCGGGGCUUAACUCCGAAACUGCAUUCGAUACUGCCGUGCUUGAGGACUGGAGAGGAGACUGGAAUUUACGGUGUAGCGGUGAAAUGCGUAGAUAUCGUAAGGAAGACCAGUGGCGAAGGCGGGUCUCUGGACAGUUCCUGACGCUGAGGCACGAAGGCCAGGGGAGCAAACGGG
rnacentral:rRNA from 1 species